AAAAAAAUGUAUGCUAAGAACUAAUGUAGGCAAUCAAGCAAUGAUCAUAUUUUCCAACCAUUAAAAAAAAAACUAGGAGGUGGCGUAAAAUAGUCCUGAUUAAUGUCUGUGAAAAUUUCGAUUUCAUGAGAAAUUAAUCUGGUCAAACCAGUUUAUCAGUUCAUCCAUACCGCGUGGAUAAGAGUCUGAAUGUUCUCAUACAGAUAACCCUUCAAGAGUAGAAAAAAUAUAACAGGAAAUAAUCAAAAGUCUACGAAGGACUUUCAUGAAGAAAAUAAUGACGAACGAUGAUGGCUCUGCUAUAUAACUCCCUGUGUUGUCAUUGACUUUACUCAAAUAAUGAGCAUAAAAAGGGUUGACUCUCGGAUAUCUUUUAGAACAUGUGAUGAGAAGCCCCGAUUAGCUACCUUAUUUCUUCAUCGACGUAUGUGAUUUCCAGCUCUCCACGAGCUCGUCCUGGUGCUUUUAUAGGUAUCUAAACACAAAUGAUGAAGGAGAGAUGAACUGUAAAUAUGGUGCAGCAGGAUUCCCAUUAAGAGAAAAUUUACAACAGAUAAUUCCGAAUAUGUGAGAAGGUCCUUUAUCUAUUUAUAGAAAAAAAAAUUGAAUCAAUUUCUCCGCGGUCAUGUUCAAAGAUGAAAGAAUUUCUGUCAUUGAAGAUUCAUUGAGUUAUAUUUCAGUAAAAUCAUCACAGAGAGGGAUCAAUAAAUGGGGCGUCCUUCUAUACAUCUCACCAUCGCCAAAGUCAGAGAGAGCAGUGGAAAAAUAUGCAUGGUGCACAAAAAGAUGAAUGAAAAAUCUCUAAAUCUAAAUUUAGAUUAUCCACUUAUGAUUAAAUUCCACACAAACAUGCGUGAAAUGAUGGGCUUAAACUGCUUAGAUAUGUAUCUAGAUUACUAAAAAAAAUGCGCAAAUCGAUAAAGAUAUCUGUUGUAAAAUGAUGGAUACCCACCAUGUAUAAUGGAUUAUCCAAAGCCAGCUGGCUGCAAGAAAGUCAUAUCUGAAAGCAAAAUCAAACGGUUGUGACAAUGAAUUAUGUGCAUACUGCUGACCGAUUAAUCAAUUUUAAGUAUAAACCACUCGCUCUUAUCUGAAAAUCAGAUUUACCUUUGACUUUGGAAAUGGGUUUUUAUGAAAAAAGGGACUACAUGACUGGCAUGCAGGCCUAUCCCUGACAUCAGUAAUACUUUCUGUCGAAUAACUCAAAGCUUUUUGAAGAGAGAUUCAAGGUGACUGGUGAGGGUUGAAGAAGGGUUUCUUGUGCUUUGAGGGACAUGCAGCAGUCAUUGCCCCGGUGUAAGUUCUAGAAUACGAUGUGCUAUAUAUAGCACUAAUAGUCAGUCCAAAUGUCUAAUACAUGAAGCGUAAGCACAUCUUGAUCAGUCCAUCAUUUGGGGAAAGAAUUCUCAUUUUAUAGAUGUCAUUUCUCAUCCAACUAUCUGUAUGUGGAAGAUAUAAUAAUAUUAACCCUUUCUCAUUCAUCCAUUAUGACGUCCAUGCGCUCUAAAGUUAUUAUUAUUAUGCGUUGUAUCAUUCUGAACCAGGGACAUUCUUAAUCUGAUCACUUCACAAUCUUGCAAAUUUAUUGAUGAAUGACAUUUUUGUGCAGAAAAUCUCCACAAAUAGUAUUUUUGUAGUCUCUGAUUACUCCGCCAAAAAUAAAAAAUGAAAAGGAAUGAAUCAAGAUCCGUUGAUGUGAUCAUUCAUCUUUAUCUACAGUGAGUACAAGAACACCAUACCAGAAGCCCCAAUAAUAUUCUAAUUUCUCAGAAAAGUAACGCUUAAAUAUAUGUAGCCCUUGCAAUCCUUAACAUGCCAUACUCUGUUAUCUACAGAGUUUCUUAUGAAAUGAGAACAAAUUGACCAACCAGAUGGAUUAUGAGGAAGACAUUUUGACAAAAUGAAAGGAAAUAAAACCCACGACUAAUAUAAUAAGUUGGUUGUAUAUUGGGGGCUGAGAACAUAAUCAAUGAUGAUAUUUUGCCGAUUUAAUUCUGCAGCAGUUGUGGAAUAAUCGAGCAGGGGCUGUCAUCACUUACCAAACCAAGAAUUUUGAACGUAUCAAAUUUAACAGCCACCCUUCUUGCAUUCAGAGGUACCAAAUUGGCAGUUACCUAGGAAAAUAACCAUGAAGAUAAGAAGCCCUGACUCUGGUUAAAAUAAGAUAGAAGAUGCUUAUUUGAAUGAUCCAGGAAAUGUCUACAUAGGCAACUGAAAAUAGAAAGGUAUAUAGUCAUGACUCAUAAAAGGAAAGACGCAAAAACACUGCUUCAGUCUAGAAAAGAACAUCUUGCCAUGGAAAGUUUAAGCUCUAAUAUACACAGAUAUAUGAAUAUCAUAUUGCAUAUUUGAGAGAAAGAGGUAGAUAAACAAGUGAGGCUUCUGGAUCUUAGUUUUCACCGUGGCAACAAUGUCUUUUUAUUGUAAAUUUUCUUGUUUAAAAUGACUUUCUUUCGCCCUAAACCUAAAUAUUAUAACAAUAUAUAAUGAAAAAUGAGUUAAAUAUCAUUUCACCAAUUUUACUAAUGGUAAAAAUAUUACAUAAAUUAGGGGGAUCCAAUGCAGGCACUGAAGUGCAUGUAGGAAUUUGGUUGGAACUUGGAUCGUAUUGGAUCAUGGCUACCCAACAAGCGAAUACCUAUUCUUAUUGGAACAACAUAUUAUCAUAGUUUUUGGAAUGCUACUAUAUAGUUUUAAGAAUAAAAAAUCAAUUUAAACUAAGAAAUUAAAAUCAGGCAAGAUAUUAUCCAAGUUCAUCAUUUCAGGGAAAAGUGUAAUGUACUUACAAUCAAUCAAAGAUAUUUCUUAUUUAUAAACAUAGGAGUUAUUAAUUGUAUUCUGUGAGAUCAAUCUAAAUUUAAAUAAUGAGCUCAGAAUGCCUGUCUAUUAGAUACAGUAUGUCAAAUGUUCCAAAAGACAUUCUGAUGAGGGCAAUGAAGUCAACCAUACACCAAUCAAGGUCUACCCUCAAAAGAAGCACAUGCCUGGGCUUGAUGAGUUGUGUACUACGGAUUUCUUUUGCUGAUUUUCGUAUGCCAUUAAGUCCAAUUUGAACUGUCUACUUUGUAUGUUUCUAUAAGUAUUUAUGGCUGAAAUUCCAAACAUCUUCACUUCUUUUCAUGAGCAUUUAAGGCUGAAAUUCCAGCCCAGUGUUUAUAGGAACUGUUGAGAUUUCUAGCCAAAUCGAAUAGCGCCCCUUCAAAGGCCUCUUUUUGCUCUAACAAAUAGGAGAACGAAGUUGAUGUCGAAGAUAAAAACAUAUAUUUUGAAUGAAAAUGUUGCCCUUAGCUCUUCCUCCAAGCUGAUGGUUAUACUGACAAAUAGGAGGACCCUCAUUUAAUUUUUUUAUGAAAGUUUUUUAUUACUUGUUAUACUUGUAAUAAAUGCAAUACAGUGUCUACCUCCUUGUACCCUAUUCUAGUCAAUCCAUAACAUAUCAUAAACGACCACCCUAGUUAGAGUGAUUUUCCAUUGUACUUACGAUUUAAGUCCAAUUUUGAAAGCAAGACCGUAACCCUAACUACGAACAUGACCCUAUUGUGAUUACUAAAAAAGGAUACUGAUUUUAGCUGGCCAGCCUUCAUUGAAAUAAUUCUCCUCUGCCCACAAAGAUGUGGCCACUGGCAUGUUAAAGUGGAUGUUCUAGUUAUCCUUUUUGGAGGCAGCAAAGGCAAGAUGGAGAAAUCAGAUGGCAUGAUCCUUCACCCUUUUCUCACUGUAUUCCUUCCCAAGCAGGUUUCGCCAUUAGAAUCGUCUGCCAAAAUACUUCGAAGAUAUAAUUUGAUUAAAAAAAAUGAAAAUAUAACAAAUAUCACAUGCUUGAUACUUGGUUUUAUUUUUCCCUCCUGUCGGGGGGAGGGGGGUAAUGGUAGUGCGAAAUUGUAAAAGUUACCGGAUUUUUAUAAAGCCAUCAUAAGGUAAUCUCACAUUGGACCCACUACCUGAUUAAAAAACGGCCAUGUCUCCAUGUUUUGGGCUCUUAGCGUGUCACAGUUGAUAGACUGGUAGAUCUUCCCAUUUGGACGCAACAACUUUGGCCUCUGCCACGAAACAGCAAGGUUACAUCAGGGAAAUUACAUAAAAAUAAAAUCUAUUUGAUGAAAUAAUUUUUUUACAGGAACUGUGAAUAAAUGAAUUCCCAAAGCAUGUGGUAUCUUCAAUGCCAAAUUGGCACAAAGACAUGCCACAUUUAUAUGAGAAACUGGACCCUUUUAAUGUAUAACCAAAAUCAAGCUACUUUAGUUGGCAUAAAAAUUUGAACAGGGGAAUGAAGGAAGAGAAAAAUGCAUAUGAUAAACCUCAAAAAUAGGGCUCCUCCUCGUCAACAGAAUAUUGCAUCAGGAAAUUGUGUUAAAGCAGCCUUACCGAGAGUUAAUAAAAAACGGCUUAAAAAUACUUUCAAUAAACUUUAAAAGGUUCGAAUUGGCAUAACAUAGUGAAACGCCCAUUCCCAUGACUCUCAGCAGCAGCACCCAUGCUCACUCAUGAAAUUUGAAAACACUCUUGAAUAGAGUCACUUCACAUUCACAGCACCUUUCCUCUUCGGUAUGAGUGAUGAUUCAAUAUAUAGUAAAGCCAUCGUUGAUUAUAAAUGAUGCAGUUCGGACAGAGGUUCAUGACUAUAAUAAAUUCACUCAGAAAAACCAGUGGAUUUCUGUGAAUUUGAGAUUUAACAAAACUAAAAGAGUAAAAAGCGCAAAAACAGCAUAAAAAAUAGUAUAUAAUAAAACAUUAAGAAUUUGAUACAAUAAAUUAUUUCCAAAUAAUAUUAAAAUAACGCUGAGGCUAUUAGAGGCUACUUCUAUUCAGCCCACCUGGGUCGCCAAAAUAGAUCUUGACGUGGUGUAUAUAAGCUCCCAUUUUCCAUCCAGCAGAUUAGACUUGAAUGGCUCUUUUACCGAAUUAACUGCUUCUAGUUUCUGUGCAAUCUGGUGAUGAAAUCUGGCAUAACGUUAAAAAAAUUUUAAUGGACUUUGAGAAUACAAAAAAUAUCUACGGAGGAAAAUAACUCAUAAAAGGAUAUACGUCAGCAUCGCAUCCGGCAUCCACUGAUUUUUCCAAGCGAAUAACCUUCCCAAGAUGGUUGUACCAUAUUGCAUCAUUUUAUCAAACAUAAUAAGAAAUUAGAAGAGCCAACAGACUUACAAUGACGACGACAAUCACCCUGGAGCUAACAAGCUCACUCUAUCCGAUAUUGGACCCUGUCUGCUCUUAUGGCAACGGAAUAUGGGACGGCAAUCUAGGUUUAGGGUACAAACAGGAAAACCUGAAGGUAACGGCUACUUGUCUCAUCAUCACUGAUUCCAACACUGUUUCCUGACCAAACAUGAUUCCGUGCACUCUGUUCAUCAGUGGUUUCGUUCCAUUCAUAGCAGAACCAAAGUUUAUAUCAAUGUUCACGAACACGAUCCACAACAUAUAUAUAUAUAGAUAUAUGUAUGUAUAUGUAUAUGUAGAGAGAGAGAGAGAGAGAGAGUCAAAACGGAACUCGCCACAUAUGUGGAGAUCCCAAACCAUACCUUGUCGAUCCGCUCCCUGUCCUCUUCAGUGGCUUCUGCGCCACGGUCGAGGGGAGCGAUUGCCUCGAGGAGCUCCUCCUUGAUCUCUUCAGGGUUUCCGCCCUUCUUUCUGUUCAAGGAGGUGAAGAAGGAGACCCCCAACCUCCACCUCUCCGCAGCCCCCGCUGUGCUCGAGAGCCGCUGGACUCCGCCACUCCAAGAAGCUCCCACAUCCCGACCGUUCCGCCGGGAGGGCAACCGCAAACCCGCAAAACCAAGAGACGGGCCUGCCGACUGAGCUCUGAGCGGGGAGAACGAAACCAGGGAGGAGGAUGAAGGCGUGGCCAGCGCCAUCGACGAGCAGAAGAGGAUCACGCUCGCUCCUGCGGCAUCACUUGAAAAUAAAAAGCUGCUUCAUUUUUGCCCUUCGGUUCAGAAUUUCUAGUAGUCUCUGGAUGACCGUUAGUCUAUUCGGGUGGUUGGAAUGGCGCGAGGUGGGUGAGGUCAAUUUUCAGCCCAACCCAAUUAAAAUGUUGUCAUAAAAAAAAACCCACAAAAAUGUUUUCACAUUAGAAAUAUUUUAUAUAGGACAUUGAACAUACUCCUUAUCAUAAAUAGGUCGCAUAUUUAAUUUAUAUAAAUAUUUAUAAUUAACCUCAUAAUAUAGGGACAUUAGAAAGGUAUUGAGGAUAUCACUACAUCUGUUUAAUAAAAUUUUAAAAAAAUCAAUUCAUGCAUGCCCAAAUAAUUAGAUUGACGACCACUAUGUUCUGAUUAAUAUCAAAAAAGUAAAAAAUAAAUAUUUAUAUAUAUUUAAAUAAUAAUAGUAAAAAAAUGACGCAGCUAAAACAUCAUUUUUAUUAGGCCAUAAAGUAGAAACGUGCAAAUGUGGCACAAAUACUUAUUGGCCUCCUAUAGAGUACAAGAAAACCAGUCCAAACUCUAUCUAGUCGUCUAUAAUCUAUUUUUUUUUAAUUCUUUUAUGCCAUAUUUUUUUUUGAUUUUGCUAAGAAUCCUAUUACAUUUUAGAGCAUGUUUCAAAAUCUAUUUUACUUUUCUGAGUUUAUUUUAUUUUUUAGGAUGUCUCACCUCCAUCAUAGGUCUAAAUAAAGGCAUACAUUAUAACCCCUAAGACAUUCUGUUCAAAUAUUUCAAAAUUUUCUCAUUUGGCAACUUCCUAUUUUUCUACAUGUGGAUUCAAGUGUCCAUUACAGAUUUAUAACUUUUUUUUUCUUUUUUUAAUCUUGUGGAUUCAAAAUCACCCCUUUGUUGAUUCAAGAAUUGAAGAUUAUAAUUGUGUGAAUUCAAGACUUGGUUUGCUAUAAGGUUGGGGUUUAUAUAUACAAAUCUACAUCUUAUCAUAUUCUGCAACAAGAUAAUAUCAAAAGUUUAUUUUUAUAAUUAAUUUUUUGUCCAUAAUUAGGAAAGCUAAUACAUUUUAUAAUAUAUUAAGUAUUUUUUAAAAUAUAUUCUUAUAAAAUCUAUUAUUUACUAAAAAAUGAACUGAUAUGACAAGCUUAGGUAUUUAAGUAGAUAAUUUUUCUUGCCACCUUUAAUGGAGUAUUCUUUUAACACGAUCUACCAUGGUAAGCCAGAUGAUCAGAUAAAAAUAUUUUUAUCAAUCAGAAAAUACCAUAAACUCCUUUGAAGAAGAGGAAAAGUGCACACAAAGUGAAAAGGUUUUGGAUGAUGGAAAAGCAAGGAACUACAGAGAAGGAAUCCAGAGAAUGGAUGGGGAAAUGCAUAGCAGACUCAGGAUUCAAGCCACCUAAAAAAUUACUUGACAUGCAAACAAUAGAACAAGAAGAGUAGAAACCUCUAAUGAUGCAACAGGACUAAAUAUAGUCAGCCAUUUUCAGGGGGAAAAAAUAAGAUCCCACAUAGAUGAAGAACUUGUUCAGAGACUGAAAUAAAUCAGAACAAUGCAGGCAGGUAAUUUGUGGGUUGAUAAACACUGUCCACUUAUCUUUCACAGGAUGAAAAAUAGUUGGAAGAGAACCAGUCAGGAAGCGGUAAAAGGGUAGCAUGGUCUUGAUAUCUCCAUUCACAUGCCGGCAAUUUAGAUUGAUCAUCAAAAACCGUUGUUGGUGGGAGCGGUCUUCGUUUGUCUGUUCUCAUGCCAACUAAAAAAAUUAAAAAAAAAUGCUGAAUAUGUUUGGAAUGUUAGCAGUGAGCAGAAAUUUGAUAGAGCACCGGUCGAAGUUGAGGCCUUGAAAAAUCAUAUCUUCAUUCCUCUUUUUUUUUAUAACCUAUUUAGACACAAAUAUGCCGAUGCCAUAUGCAAAAAAAAAAUGCGUCUAGAAUGUCAGUAGUGGGUAGAAAUUUUUUGAUACAAGAAACUAUUUGAACAUUAAAUAUCAGAAGAGCGAGUGAUGAUCUCCAUGAGUCUUGUUAGGAGGGAGGGUCUUAAACUCUAUUUCAUACAGCAAAAUGCAGGGAAUUAGUGCCAUGAAACGAUUCCCAAUUAACUCACAGACAAAUUAAUGUGGUAAAUCCUCAAGGCAGAGAAGAAGCAAGCCAUAGAACAAGAAGAGAGAAGCAGAGAAUGGAGAACCGGGAAAGCAUGCAAUGGCUCACACAGUUCUUGAUAAGCAUAAAGUGGAGGAAGCAAUUCCUCAGCAGGCGUGCCCCAUGAACAGAUUGAUCAGACCAUUUGAGCAGACAGAUGCCGAGUAUGGAGAGAACUUAAAAUGAGGCCAUAGUAAAAAAAAAAAAAGAAAAAAAAAUCUAGGAGCAACGAAAAUAAUUCCUUUAAUACAAAUUUUUGAUUCGGAAAAACCAAAAAGAUCCUCACCCAAUGUCAACCCUGAAGAGGGAAUGAUGAAGUUGUGGCCAUGAAAUCAUUACAAUUACAGACGCAGAGGAAGGAAGUAAAGAAGAAGACCGCCCCAGACGCGGUGCAGGCUUCCAUUCACUACACGAAGGGAGCUUACGUCGGACGACGGUGGUAGAGAUUAA
rnacentral:lncRNA from 1 species